GGCCUGGUGGUGUAAUGGGUAACAUACUUGCAUGUUGUGGCCGUUAGCGAAAUCGUUUGCGGGAGAUCCUUGUUCAAUUCAGGGCUAGGUCA